GACGAACGCUGGCGGCGUGCUUAACACAUGCAAGUCGAGCGGCGCGGCGAACGGGUGCGUAACGCGUGAGUAACUGCCCCCCUCUCUGGGAUCACAGAUGGACACGGCUGCUAAUCCCGGAUAGUGGGGGAUGACUCGCGGCCUAUCAGCUUGUUGGUGGGGUAGUGGCCUACCAAGGCGACGACGGGUAGCCGGCCUGCGAGGGCGACCGGCCACAUGGGGCUGAGAUACGGCGCAAACUCGUACGGGGGGCAGUAGUGGGGAAUAUUGCACAAGGGGGGAAACUCUGAGGCAGCAACGCGCGGGCGGGAUGACGGCCUUGGGGUUGUAAACCGCUUUCAGUCAUGACGCGGUAGUGGCAGAAGAAGCACCGGCUAACUACGUGCCAGCAGCCGCGGUAAUUC
rnacentral:rRNA from 1 species